rnacentral:ncRNA from 2 species
AGUGUCCUGGCUGCAGCUGGUUCGGCGCCUCAGCCAGAGGUGUCGUCGUAAGAGGGAACCCGGUUCGAAUCCGGGACUGCCCCGCAGCGGUGAGUGGGAACGACCGUCGUCACGAGCACUGGGCCCCAGGGCCUGGGAAGCGACGACCAGUAGGAGUCCGUCCGUCCGAACGUCCGGACGGUGCGCAUGCCCACGAGUCCGAAGACCUGCCAGCGCACCGCACGGGAC